GACGAACGCUGGCGGCGUGCUUAACACAUGCAAGUCGAACGGAAAGGUCCUGCUUUUGUGGGGUGCUCGAGUGGCGAACGGGUGAGUAACACGUGAGUAACCUGCCCUUGACUUUGGGAUAACUUCAGGCAACUGGGGCUAAUACCGGAUAGGAGCUCCUGCUGCAUGGUGGGGGUUGGACAGUUUCGGCGGUUGGGGAUGGACUCGCGGCUUAUCAGCUUGUUGGUGGGGUAGUGGCUUACCAAGGCUAUGACAGGUAGCCGGCCUGAGAGGGUGACCGGCCACAUUGGGACUGAGAUACGGCCCAGACUCCUACGGGACGCAGCAGUGGAGAAGAGUGCACUAUGGGCGGAAGCCAGAUGCAGCAACGCCGCGUGCGGGAAAACGGCCAUCUGGUUGUAAACCGCAUUCGCCUGUGACGAAGCGAGAGUGACGGUAAUGGGUAAAGAAGCACCGGCUAACUACGUG
rnacentral:rRNA from 1 species